rnacentral:rRNA from 1 species
UACGUAGGGUGCAAGCGUUGUCCGGAAUUAUUGGGCGUAAAGAGCUCGUAGGCGGUUCGUCGCGUCGGCUGUGAAAACCCGAGGCUCAACCUCGGGCCUGCAGUCGAUACGGGCGGACUGGAGUUCGGCAGGGGAGACUGGAAUUCCUGGUGUAGCGGUGAAAUGCGCAGAUAUCAGGAGGAACACCGGUGGCGAAGGCGGAUCUCUGGGCCAUUACUGACGCUGAGGAGCGAAAGCGUGGGGAGCGAACAGG